GCACUUCGGGAUAAGCCUGGGAAACUGGGUCUAAUACCGAAUAGGACUAUUUAGCGCAUGCUUUAUGGUGGAAAGCUUUUGCGGUGUGGGAUGGGCCCGCGGCCUAUCAGCUUGUUGGUGGGGUGACGGCCUACCAAGGCGACGACGGGUAGCCGGCCUGAGAGGGUGUCCGGCCACACUGGGACUGAGAUACGGCCCGGACUCCUACGGGAGGCUGCAGUGGGGAAUAUUGCACAAUGGGCGCAAGCCUGAUGCAGCGACGCCGCGUGGGGGAUGACGGCCUUCGGGUUGUAAACGUCUUUCAGCAGGGACGAAGCGCAAGUGACGGUACCUGCAGAAGAAGCACCGGCCAACUACGUGCCAGCAGCCGCGGUAAUACGUAGGGUGCGAGCGUUGUCCGGAAUUACUGGGCGUAAAGAGCUCGUAGGUGGUUUGUCGCGUUGUUCGUGAAAUCUCACGGCUUAACUGUGAGCGUGCGGGCGAUACGGGCAGACUGGAGUACUGCAGGGGAGACUGGAAUUCCUGGUGUAGCGGUGGAAUGCGCAGAUAUCAGGAGGAACACCGGUGGCGAAGGCGGGUCUCUGGGCAGUAACUGACGCUGAGGAGCGAAAGCGUGGGGAGCGAACAGGGUUAGAUACCCUGGUAGUCCACGCCGUAAACGGUGGGUACUAGGUGUGGGUUUCCUU
rnacentral:rRNA from 1 species